GGAAGUAAAAGUCGAAACAAGGUUUCCGUUGGUGAACCAGCGGAAGGAUCAUUACAGAGAUCGUGCCCUUCGGGGUAGACCUCCCACCCUGUGUUAUUUACGUAUGUUGCUUUGGCGGGCCGCCUCCGGGCUCUCGGCUUCGGCCGAGGUGUGCCCGCCAGAGAACCCACAACCCUGUGUUUAGUGUCGUCUGAGUAUUAUCAAAUAAGUUAAAACUUUCAACAACGGAUCUCUUGGUUCUG
rnacentral:misc_RNA from 1 species